GGGACACGUGGUAUCCUGUCUGAAUAUGGGGGGACCAUCCUCCAAGGCUAAAUACUCCUGACUGACCGAUAGUGAACCAGUACCGUGAGGGAAAGGCGAAAAGAACCCCGGCGAGGGGAGUGAAAAAGAACCUGAAACCGUGUACGUACAAGCAGUGGGAGCACGCUUAGGCGUGUGACUGCGUACCUUUUGUAUAAUGGGUCAGCGACUUAUAUUCUGUAGCAAGGUUAACCGAAUAGGGGAGCCGAAGGGAAACCGAGUCUUAACUGGGCGUUAAGUUGCAGGGUAUAGACCCGAAACCCGGUGAUCUAGCCAUGGGCAGGUUGAAGGUUGGGUAACACUAACUGGAGGACCGAACCGACUAAUGUUGAAAAAUUAGCGGAUGACUUGUGGCUGGGGGUGAAAGGCCAAUCAAACCGGGAGAUAGCUGGUUCUCCCCGAAAGCUAUUUAGGUAGCGCCUCGUGAAUUCAUCUCCGGGGGUAGAGCACUGUUUCGGCAAGGGGGUCAUCCCGACUUACCAACCCGAUGCAAACUGCGAAUACCGGAGAAUGUUAUCACGGGAGACACACGGCGGGUGCUAACGUCCGUCGUGAAGAGGGAAACAACCCAGACCGCCAGCUAAGGUCCCAAAGUCAUGGUUAAGUGGGAAACGAUGUGGGAAGGCCCAGACAGCCAGGAUGUUGGCUUAGAAGCAGCCAUCAUUUAAAGAAAGCGUAAUAGCUCACUGGUCGAGUCGGCCUGCGCGGAAGAUGUAACGGGGCUAAACCAUGCACCGAAGCUGCGGCAGCGACGCUUAUGCGUUGUUGGGUAGGGGAGCGUUCUGUAAGCCUGUGAAGGUGUGCUGUGAGGCAUGCUGGAGGUAUCAGAAGUGCGAAUGCUGACAUAAGUAACGAUAAAGCGGGUGAAAAGCCCGCUCGCCGGAAGACCAAGGGUUCCUGUCCAACGUUAAUCGGGGCAGGGUGAGUCGACCCCUAAGGCGAGGCCGAAAGGCGUAGUCGAUGGGAAACAGGUUAAUAUUCCUGUACUUGGUGUUACUGCGAAGGGGGGACGGAGAAGGCUAUGUUGGCCGGGCGACGGUUGUC
rnacentral:rRNA from 1 species